UUGGUAUCUUAGUGGCGGACGGGUGAGUAACGCGUGGGUAACCUGCCUUACACUGGGGGAUAACACUUAGAAAUAGGUGCUAAUACCGCAUAACAGGAGAAGACGCAUGUCUUUUCCUUGAAAACUCCGGUGGUGUAAGAUGGACCCGCGUCUGAUUAGCUGGUUGGCGGGGUAACGGCCCACCAAGGCGACGAUCAGUAGCCGGCCUGAGAGGGUGAACGGCCACAUUGGGACUGAGACACGGCCCAAACUCCUACGGGAGGCAGCAG
rnacentral:rRNA from 1 species